GUCGAACGAAGCAGAAGGAUGCUUGCAUCCUUUUGACUGAGUGGCGGACGGGUGAGUAACGUGUGGAGAACCUACCUUACACAGGGGGAUAACGGCUGGAAACGGCUGCUAAUACCGCAUAAGCAUACAGCUUCGCAUGAAGCCGUGUGAAAAGAAGUAUCGGUGUAAGAUGGCUCCGCAUCUGAUUAGCUAGUUGGUGAGGUAAUGGCUCACCAAGGCAACGAUCAGUAGCCGGCCUGAGAGGGCGACCGGCCACAUUGGGACUGAGACACGGCCCAGACUCCUACGGGAGGCAGCAGUGGGGAAUCUUGCACAAUGGGGGAAACCCUGAUGCAGCAACGCCGCGUGAGCGAAGAAGUAUUUCGGUAUGUAAAGCUCUAUCAGCAGGGAAUAGAAAAGAAGGUACCUGACUAAGAAGCCCCGGCUAACUACGUGCCAGCAGCCGCGGUAAUACGUAGGGGGCAAGCGUUAUCCGGAUUUACUGGGUGUAAAGGGAGCGUAGACGGCUGUUUAAGUCAGAAGUGAAAGCCCAUUGCUUAACGAUGGGACUGCUUUUGAAACUAAGGAGCUGGAGUGCAGGAGAGGUAAGUGGAAUUCCUAGUGUAGCGGUGAAAUGCGUAGAGAUUAGAAGGAACACCAGUGGCGAAGGCGGCUUACUGGACUGUAACUGACGUUGAGGCUCGAAAGCGUGGGGAGCUAAAAAGAUUAGAUACCCUGGUAGUCCACGCGGUA
rnacentral:rRNA from 1 species